GGGUUGUGAGGUUAAGCGACUAAGCGUACACGGUGGAUGCCCUGGCAGUCAGAGGCGAUGAAGGACGUGCUAAUCUGCGAUAAGCGUCGGUAAGGUGAUAUGAACCGUUAUAACCGGCGAUUUCCGAAUGGGGAAACCCAGUGUGAUUCGUCACACUAUCAUUAACUGAAUCCAUAGGUUAAUGAGGCGAACCGGGGGAACUGAAACAUCUAAGUACCCCGAGGAAAAGAAAUCAACCGAGAUUCCCCCAGUAGCGGCGAGCGAACGGGGAGCAGCCCAGAGCCUGAAUCAGUGUGUGUGUUAGUGGAAGCGUCUGGAAAGGCGCGCGAUACAGGGUGACAGCCCCGUACACAAAAAUGCACAUGCUGUGAGCUCGAUGAGUAGGGCGGGACACGUGGUAUCCUGUCUGAAUAUGGGGGGACCAUCCUCCAAGGCUAAAUACUCCUGACUGACCGAUAGUGAACCAGUACCGUGAGGGAAAGGCGAAAAGAACCCCGGCGAGGGGAGUGAAAAAGAACCUGAAACCGUGUACGUACAAGCAGUGGGAGCACGCUUCGGCGUGUGACUGCGUACCUUUUGUAUAAUGGGUCAGCGACUUAUAUUCUGUAGCAAGGUUAACCGAAUAGGGGAGCCGAAGGGAAACCGAGUCUUAACUGGGCGUUAAGUUGCAGGGUAUAGACCCGAAACCCGGUGAUCUAGCCAUGGGCAGGUUGAAGGUUGGGUAACACUAACUGGAGGACCGAACCGACUAAUGUUGAAAAAUUAGCGGAUGACUUGUGGCUGGGGGUGAAAGGCCAAUCAAACCGGGAGAUAGCUGGUUCUCCCCGAAAGCUAUUUAGGUAGCGCCUCGUGAAUUCAUCUCCGGGGGUAGAGCACUGUUUCGGCAAGGGGGUCAUCCCGACUUACCAACCCGAUGCAAACUGCGAAUACCGGAGAAUGUUAUCACGGGAGACACACGGCGGGUGCUAACGUCCGUCGUGAAGAGGGAAACAACCCAGACCGCCAGCUAAGGUCCCAAAGUCAUGGUUAAGUGGGAAACGAUGUGGGAAGGCCCAGACAGCCAGGAUGUUGGCUUAGAAGCAGCCAUCAUUUAAAGAAAGCGUAAUAGCUCACUGGUCGAGUCGGCCUGCGCGGAAGAUGUAACGGGGCUAAACCAUGCACCGAAGCUGCGGCAGCGACGCUUAUGCGUUGUUGGGUAGGGGAGCGUUCUGUAAGCCUGUGAAGGUGUGCUGUGAGGCAUGCUGGAGGUAUCAGAAGUGCGAAUGCUGACAUAAGUAACGAUAAAGCGGGUGAAAAGCCCGCUCGCCGGAAGACCAAGGGUUCCUGUCCAACGUUAAUCGGGGCAGGGUGAGUCGACCCCUAAGGCGAGGCCGAAAGGCGUAGUCGAUGGGAAACAGGUUAAUAUUCCUGUACUUGGUGUUACUGCGAAGGGGGGACGGAGAAGGCUAUGUUGGCCGGGCGACGGUUGUCCCGGUUUAAGCGUGUAGGCUGGUUUUCCAGGCAAAUCCGGAAAAUCAAGGCUGAGGCGUGAUGACGAGGCACUACGGUGCUGAAGCAACAAAUGCCCUGCUUCCAGGAAAAGCCUCUAAGCAUCAGGUAACAUCAAAUCGUACCCCAAACCGACACAGGUGGUCAGGUAGAGAAUACCAAGGCGCUUGAGAGAACUCGGGUGAAGGAACUAGGCAAAAUGGUGCCGUAACUUCGGGAGAAGGCACGCUGAUAUGUAGGUGAGGUCCCUCGCGGAUGGAGCUGAAAUCAGUCGAAGAUACCAGCUGGCUGCAACUGUUUAUUAAAAACACAGCACUGUGCAAACACGAAAGUGGACGUAUACGGUGUGACGCCUGCCCGGUGCCGGAAGGUUAAUUGAUGGGGUUAGCGGUAACGCGAAGCUCUUGAUCGAAGCCCCGGUAAACGGCGGCCGUAACUAUAACGGUCCUAAGGUAGCGAAAUUCCUUGUCGGGUAAGUUCCGACCUGCACGAAUGGCGUAAUGAUGGCCAGGCUGUCUCCACCCGAGACUCAGUGAAAUUGAACUCGCUGUGAAGAUGCAGUGUACCCGCGGCAAGACGGAAAGACCCCGUGAACCUUUACUAUAGCUUGACACUGAACAUUGAGCCUUGAUGUGUAGGAUAGGUGGGAGGCUUUGAAGUGUGGACGCCAGUCUGCAUGGAGCCGACCUUGAAAUACCACCCUUUAAUGUUUGAUGUUCUAACGUUGACCCGUAAUCCGGGUUGCGGACAGUGUCUGGUGGGUAGUUUGACUGGGGCGGUCUCCUCCUAAAGAGUAACGGAGGAGCACGAAGGUUGGCUAAUCCUGGUCGGACAUCAGGAGGUUAGUGCAAUGGCAUAAGCCAGCUUGACUGCGAGCGUGACGGCGCGAGCAGGUGCGAAAGCAGGUCAUAGUGAUCCGGUGGUUCUGAAUGGAAGGGCCAUCGCUCAACGGAUAAAAGGUACUCCGGGGAUAACAGGCUGAUACCGCCCAAGAGUUCAUAUCGACGGCGGUGUUUGGCACCUCGAUGUCGGCUCAUCACAUCCUGGGGCUGAAGUAGGUCCCAAGGGUAUGGCUGUUCGCCAUUUAAAGUGGUACGCGAGCUGGGUUUAGAACGUCGUGAGACAGUUCGGUCCCUAUCUGCCGUGGGCGCUGGAGAACUGAGGGGGGCUGCUCCUAGUACGAGAGGACCGGAGUGGACGCAUCACUGGUGUUCGGGUUGUCAUGCCAAUGGCACUGCCCGGUAGCUAAAUGCGGAAGAGAUAAGUGCUGAAAGCAUCUAAGCACGAAACUUGCCCCGAGAUGAGUUCUCCCUGACUCCUUGAGAGUCCUGAAGGAACGUUGAAGACGACGACGUUGAUAGGCCGGGUGUGUAAGCGCAGCGAUGCGUUGAGCUAACCGGUACUAAUGAACCGUGAGGCUUAACCUUACAACGCCGAAG
rnacentral:rRNA from 1 species